rnacentral:rRNA from 1 species
UACGGGAGGCAGCAGUGGGGAAUAUUGCACAAUGGGCGCAAGCCUGAUGCAGCCAUGCCGCGUGUAUGAAAAAGGCCUUCGGGUUGUAAAGUACUUUCAGUCGUGAGGAAGGUGUUAAGGUUAAUAACCUUAGCAAUUGACGUUAGCGACAGAAGAAGCACCGGCUAACUCCGUGCCAGCAGCCGCGGUAAUACGGAGGGUGCGAGCGUUAAUCGGAAUUACUGGGCGUAAAGGGCACGCAGGCGGUUAAUUAAGUUGGAUGUGAAAUCCCCGGGCUUAACCUGGGAAUGGCAUUCAAGACUGGUUAGCUAGAGUCUUGUAGAGGGGGUAGAAUUCCAUGUGUAGCGGUGAAAUGCGUAGAGAUGUGGAGGAAUACCGGUGGCGAAGGCGGCCCCUGGACAAAGGCUGACGCUCAUGUGCGAAAGCGUGGGGAGCGAAACAGGGAUUAGAU